rnacentral:rRNA from 1 species
UAGGGAAUCUUCCACAAUGGGCGAAAGCCUGAUGGAGCAACGCCGCGUGUGCGAUGAAGGGUUUCGGCUCGUAAAACACUGUUGUAAGAGAAGAAUGACAUUGAGAGUAACUGUUCAAUGUGUGACGGUAUCUUGCCAGAAAGGAACGGCUAAAUACGUGCCAC